UACGGGGGGGGCAAGCGUUGUUCGGAAUUACUGGGCGUAAAGGGUUCGUAGGUGGCCGGCUAAGUCAGACGUGAAAUCCCUCAGCUUAACUGGGGAACUGCGUCUGAGACUGGUCGGCUCGAGGGCAGGAGAGGAACGCGGAAUUCCAGGUGUAGCGGUGAAAUGCGUAGAUAUCUGGAGGAACUCCGGUGGCGAAGGCGGCGUUCUGGACUGCAUCUGACGCUGAGGAACGAAAGCCAGGGGAGCAAACGGG
rnacentral:rRNA from 1 species